CGCGCGGUAUUUUAGUCUAUUCAGAGGAACCUGCCCUGUAAUUGAUGAUCCACGAGUUUUUUUACUUAUAUUAGUAGUUUGCAUAUCGCCGUAGUUUGAAUAUUUUUUAAGAAUUUUAAUGUUCAUGAUUUUUAUUAUUAAAAGGAAAUCAGGUCAAGGUGUAGCUUAUAUAUAAGAAGAGGUGGGUUACAAUAGUUAGAACUAUACGGAUUAUUAAAUGAAAUUUUAAUAAGAAGGUGGAUUUGAAGGUAAUAUUAUUAAAAUUAAUAGUAUGAUUUUAGCUCUAAAAUAUGUACAUAUCGCCCGUCGCUUUCAUUAUAAAAUGGAAUAAGUCGUAACAGAGUAGGGGUACUGGAAAGUGUUCCUAGAAAGUCAAAUUAGAGCUUGGAAAAGCAUUUUAGUUACAUUAAAAAGUUUAUUGUAAAUUCAAUAUAGUUUGAGUUUAAAUAAUUAUUAUUUAUUUUAGUUUAAUUUAAUUUAAAAUAAGAAUUUUUUUGUUUUAUUAAUAUUUAUGAAUCAAUUUUAAUUAAUUAUAGAGAAAUAGUAUUGUGAAAGAAUUUUUUAAACAAUUAAAAGAAGAUUUUAUUUUUUGUACCUUGUGUAUCAGGGCUUAUUAAAUAAGUAUUUAUAAUUAAAUUAUCUCGAAUUAAUAAGAGCUAUAAUUAUAUUCUUUGUUUUGUUGAAUAAAAAUUAUUAAUAUAAUUAUAGAGAUGAAACGUCAUUCGAUUAUUAAUAUAUCUAGUUUUUAAAGAAAAAAAUUUAAUUUUUUUACUAUGAAAUAUAAUAUUUAAUUAGUUUAGAUUUAUAUUAUUAGUAUUUUAUAUCUUAGGGGAUAAGCUUUAAGGUAGAUUAUUUUAAAGUUUAAUAAGUAAUUAGUUAAGUAGGAUUAAAAAUUUUUAACUUUAAAAGUAUGUUGCAAUUUUUCUAAGGUUGAAUAUAAUUUUUAUUAGUCUUUAAAAUUUUUUAUUUAAAUGUAAUUUUUAUUUUUAAAAAUUUAGUAAUAAUGAUAAGAUUAGUAUAAAUUGUUGUUUUAAGUAAGAAGAUUAUGUGAGGUUAAGUAAAGGAAUUCGGCAAAUAUAUUUUUCACCUGUUUAUUAAAAACAUGGCUUUUUGAUUAUAAUUUAAAGUCUGGCCUGCCCAAUGAUUUUUAAAUGGCCGCGGUACUUUGACCGUGCAAAGGUAGCAUAAUCAUUAGUUUUUUAAUUGAAAGCUGGAAUGAAGGGUUGGAUGAAAAAAUAACUGUCUCUAUUUAAAUUGUUUAGAAAUUUAUUUUUAAGUAAAAAAGCUUAAAUGUAAUUAGAAGACGAGAAGACCCUAUAGAGUUUUAUUUAUGACUAUUAUAAAAUUUUUAGUAUUAAA
rnacentral:rRNA from 1 species